rnacentral:rRNA from 1 species
CUUGACAUCCAGCGAACUUUCCAGAGAUGGAUUGGUGCCUUCGGGAACGCUGAGACAGGUGCUGCAUGGCUGUCGUCAGCUCGUGUUGUGAAAUGUUGGGUUAAGUCCCGCAACGAGCGCAACCCUUAUCCUUUGUUGCCAGCGAUUCGGUCGGGAACUCAAAGGAGACUGCCGGUGAUAAACCGGAGGAAGGUGGGGAUGACGUCAAGUCAUCAUGGCCCUUACGAGUAGGGCUACACACGUGCUACAAUGGCGCAUACAAAGAGAAGCGACCUCGCGAGAGCAAGCGGACCUCAUAAAGUGCGUCGUAGUCCGGAUCGGAGUCUGCAACUCGACUCCGUGAAGUCGGAAUCGCUAGUAAUCGUGGAUCAGAAUGCCACGGUGAAUACGUUCCCGGGCCUUGUACACACCGCCCGUCACACCAUGGGAGUGGGUUGCAAAAGAAGUAGGUAGCUUAACCUCCGGGAGGGCGCUUACCACUUUGUGAUUCAUGACUGGGGUGAAGUCGUAACAAGGUAGGCGUAGAUGA